rnacentral:rRNA from 1 species
UACGAAGGGGGCUAGCGUUGCUCGGAAUCACUGGGCGUAAAGCGCACGUAGGCGGCUUUCUAAGUCAGGGGUGAAAUCCUGGAGCUCAACUCCAGAACUGCCUUUGAUACUGGAGAGCUCGAGUCCGGAAGAGGAGAGUGGAAUUCCUGGUGUAGCGGUGAAAUGCGCAGAUAUCAGGAAGAACACCCGUGGCGAAGGCGGCUCUCUGGGACGGUACUGACGCUGAGACGCGAAAGCGUGGGGAGCAAACAGG